CACAGGUAUAAGCUGUUAGCUAGAGCAAUUUCAGCAGUUGGGAGGUGAGCAUAUCAACCCACAAGGUUGUCUGAGAGGGACAACAACUUCUGCUGUUAGUUUACUUUUGGGUAUAAACGUGAACUUUGAGGAAAGAGUUAAAUUCAAUUAAAAACAAAUUCGUUGAGUGUCUACUAUGUGCAAAACAAUAUGUUGUGGCAAAAGGGGGACGCAAUGUGAAAGAUCUGUUGCCCUCGAGAAGAAACGACCCUGCAUAUCAGCAAGGUAUCUUUUCCUGAAGCCGGUCUUCAUUAACAGGCUUGGUCUUUCUCCCAGUGGAGAAAUCACUUGGGCCACUUCUGCAUCUAGAGUGUCAGACCCAAGCUAGGAAAAAGAAUCAUCUUUAAAAGUAUGUCAUCAGCACUCAAGACCUUUAAUGAGCCAGCGGAAUUGGUCUCCUGGUCCUCUCCUCACUCCACAGAGACUGAAAACUAUGUCAGUUCAUCGCCACGCAAUAUAUAUCAAGGACUACCAUGAGUCAGAGACUCUGCCAGCACUGGGCAAAGAAGGAAGAAGGCCUUGUCUGGGACAUCAUGGUGCUUAAAGUCUAGAGAAGUGUCCAGAGAAGUCAACAAGUGGGAAGGUGUCUACCCAGUGUACAGCAAACUAUUUCUGUAGGCUGCCCGCAGUUGACAUCCUCCAUUCUGACCCUCGCCAAGCAUUUCAGAAAAGGUAGACAGGCCUGCAGAGAAAGCAGAUGGCUCAUCGCACAUCACACAGAACCAGACAGAGGACGAGAGUCCGCAUGCUGAACCACUUAAAUUCACAUGGCGGCUAAGAAGACAAGAGUUUCGGCAGGCAUAGAGGCUAAGAGAGUUAAGAGCAUCCUCCGUGCCUAGUACAGUCCCCAGCUGCAUCAUAAACAGAUGAAAUGAAAAAGUUUUUUCUCCCAAUCAAGCCAGCAGGAGAGCAAGGGUCUGUGGUACCUGGGGACAAUGCACCAUGCUUACACCCUCUCUAGCCACAUGUAUGCUACUGCGGAAUUGGCAAAGACAGAGUGCAACCCUUUUUAGUCAUCAACCUGGGGGAGAGAUCUCUUCUGCACAUAAAAGUAUCCCCACAGCAUUGUGAUCACACUGGAGAAAGUGGACGGGAUAAAGAGAAGGAAGGACGUUUUGUUGAGUGCCUUCUAUGUGCUGUUCGCUCUGCUGAGCUUCAAGUUUCUCAAAUAUAAAUGGGGGAGAGGCUGGGCGCGGUGGCUUACGCCUGUAAUUCCAGAACUUUUGGAGGCCAAGGCGAGCAGAUCACAAGGUCAGGAGUUGCAGACCAGCUUGGCCAACAUAGUGAAACUCUGUCUCUACUAAUAAUACAAAAAUUAGUUGGGCAUGGUGGCACGUGCCUAUAAUGCCAGCUACUUGGGAGGCUGAGGCAGGAAAACUGCUUGAACAGGGACCUGGGAAGCAGAGGUUGCAGUGAGCCGAGACCACGCCACUGCACUCCAGCCUGGGCUACAGAGCGAGACUCUGUCUCAAAAAAUAAAUAUAAAUAAAUAAAUGAGGGAGAACCAUGAUUCAUAGGGUUCUUAAUAAUGAAGAUAACAAUACCAAUGCCAAUAACAACUGUCACAUAUUCUGCAUGCUGGACAUUGUGCUAAUUCUUUCCAUGCAUUUUCUCACCUAAGCCUUACAACAACCCGGAGGGAUAGGUACGAUUUUACAGAUGACAAGACUAAGGAACAGAGUUUAAGCCAAUUUCCCAAGAUUGCAGAGCUACUGAAGGUCACAGACACUAUUUUGUCCUUCAGUGGUUAGUCUUCUAGAGCCCAUAAGCUUCACCUCUGUGGUAUCUGUUUCCCAUUUUGCAGGCACCACAUGUCCCACUAUUUGGGAUAAUAUAGUAAAAUGCAUAGUACAGUCUUCCCACUUCCAAGCAGCACUAUAAAUGGAGACUAACAGUUCAUCUAACUGGAGACGGCAAAGAAGGCUUCCUAGAGGAGGUGGCCCCUCUAGUAUCUUGCUUUUCCUACAAGCACCCCUGUAGGCCCAUCUUUGGGAAGUUGGGGUGGGGGGCACAUAGGUGCCAGGUUGAAAAAGUGUUUCUGUUCCUUCCAACGAAGAGAACAGAAAGAGGUCCAGAGAGAGAGAAACAUACAGAUGUCCUCCAGCUUUCAGAACCUGAAGGCUGAUUUCAAAUAAGUUGUGCCCAUUUGGGGCUGUGCCUAGAGGAAGAGAAUGUUGGAAUCAUUCUCUUCUCUUCUUGUGCAACCACUUUUAGAGGCAGCUUGAGAAGAAAGUUUAAUCAAAGUGGUUUUUAGACAAUGAGGAACCUGAGUCAGGCCCCUACACCUGUGAAGGCCACUCUGUUCAGCUUCCUAUAACAUCUCUUAUGUAGAUAUUCUGUAGAAUAUAGAUAGGUAGAUACGUAUAUAUUGAAAAAUAUCAACUCAGGAAUUAUUUUUUCUCUGAUAACUGUUGAAAGAGCCCUUUCAUUAAUAGCAAAUCCUUUUGUUUCUGCCUUGCCCCUUCAACAACAACAAAAAAAUUUGAAAAGAAUACGAAUGCCGAUUGACCUUCACUCAAAUGCACUUUUUUAAACCUAGGACUGCCUUCCUUAUCCAAGUAAUGGCUUUCAGACAGAUUAUAAGAUCUUGUACCAAAUUAAGCAAAAGAUUAGAAGAAUAAGGACACACUGAGAAAACACGUGCUGCCUCUUUAAUGUCUCAGGUUUUCUUUAAACAUAAAAUUAUAGCACAAUGCACAAAAGGACGGCGGCAUUAUCCUUUAUCACAAUACCCAGCCAACUUUAACUUGUCUCAAGUGUUAUUAUAAGAAAUAGAAUUUACUGCUAUGGACUUCUCUUCAAUACCACUCCUUCCCUGUUUAAUGAAAUGUCAUUAUUCCAAUACAAACCCUUUCUUUUUGCAGCCUGUUCCCCCCCCGACCCAACCACUAUAUUUCAUUUCCUGCAGUUACGUGAUAUUAUUGCCUUUUUUCCACAGCUAUUGAUUUAGGUGUAUAUGGUUAUUACAAUGCAAAAUAAAACAGCUCCCCCAUCCAUUCUACCUUGUACCAUUGAACAUUAACUUAAUUUGUUUCAAAUCUGCAUUUGAUUUGGCAAGGAAACCAUUUAUCUUUAUGAAGAAAGCCCUCAUAAAGUAGAGAGUUUAGAAGAUCACUGCUUUAAAAAUUUAAUAGCCUUGUGUCUUAUAAACUAGAAAAAUGAAUUAAAC
rnacentral:lncRNA from 10 species